GUAAGGCCUGCAGCCUGCUGUGAGCCUGGUUCUGGGUGCAGCAGUGCUGGCAUCAUAAUAGGGCCCAUUCAACCUCUCCCUGUCCUGAAGAGAGAGGCAAAGCCCUCCAAAUGAACAGGCUUCAAGCAGCUCUUUCAGGCAAAACCUCUUGGAGUUAAAUACCGGAGGGGUAUUUAACUCAGGGGCUGAAGCUGCGAGCCCAGGGCAGCCUGGUACCCUUGAGGACAUGUGGAAAGAGCGGAGGCAAAUGAUUGCCAGGAGGCAAAUCUGCAGCCAGGCUGGAAAGCGUUGCUACAGGCAAGGAGCAGAGCUUUGUGCCAGCUGCCUGAAGUCAACAGGGGACCAUCAGGAGCUGCUGAAGGUCAACUACUCUAAACUCCUUUUUCCAUUGCCAAAAGCAUUACGAAGAGACAGAUGUAGGAAUGUGCAGAGAGAGGGACAGGCCCAGGGAGGGGAUGAGAUUUCUCUCUGGACCGCACCAAUGCCCCACUUCCCAGGCAGAACACAAUCACGUGCAGACUCCGUGCUCUUUAACUCUGAGGAGGGAUGGUGAGCCUACAAAGGUAUGAGAACCAGAGGGAUUGGAGCACGAGGGGGGUUGGGAUACUUCCCAUAGCUUUCUAUAAAUAUGUCCGAGGAGUAAGCACUAUGGAGGGAGGACAGCUAUUUCAGCCAAAGGACAGUUCUGGCACGAGAACAAAUGGAUAUAAACUGGCCAUGAAUAAACGAGGCUGGAAAUUAGUUGAGGGCUUUGAACCAUUAAAGCAAUCACGUUUGGAGUGGCCGCCCUGUAGGAGGCAGGAGGGCAGAAAUCCAAAGAGCUUUUAAGAAAGUGUGGAUUCUAGCUCUAAAAGGGCAUCAUGAUGUCCAUUGGCUGCAACAGCAAGGAUUGGAUUUGGCAAGCCUGGAAGUCCUUUCCAGACCCGUGUUCUUGUGUUUCAGGCAUUUGAAAGUUUUGACUUCUUUUUGUAGAUGAAUAUGUCUUCGUGAGCAAAAGCAAAUAAACUGCUGCUGGAAAAAUAUACUUGGACACUUGUCAAGAUGUUUUAAGAGUGGAACGCAGCAGUUGAAAAGCCAGCUCUCACCUCACAGUCAUUGCUGUGACAGCGUGGGCUGUCCUGUCCAGACGGGGGAAGACGAUGAACGAGGAUGUGAUGAAAUGUCACCAACCUGUGGGUUCAAAGAGAUGCGGCACCUCUGGGUGGUGCCAGCUGGGAUGUAGGAGGUUUGCUUUUGGGCAAAAAAAGUGUCCCACUAGGGGAAACUUGAUGGUGGAAAGGACUCAGCUGAGUUUCUACAGCAAACAGAUCUCUGCCACUGUCUUAAUAUCCCACUUAUCAGAGGCUCUGUUUCAUGUUCCCAGAUCAGCAUCUGACUCCUGAUCUGCUCCAGCUGAUGUUUUUUUUCUAUUUCCCACCAGGAUCUGGUCCAGCUCGGCUCUGAGCUCAAGCUAACAUCAGCACACGGAUGUGGUGAUAUUCCUUCCAGCUUAGAGCAUGACCAACUGUGAAGUCCAAGGGCAAUGACACUGAUAAUAAAGCUCUU